AAAGGAAUUGACGGGGGCCCGCACAAGCAGCGGAGCAUGUGGUUUAAUUCGAAGCAACGCGAAGAACCUUACCAGGGCUUGACAUCCCUCUGACAGGUACAGAGAUGUACUUUUCCUUUGGGACAGAGGAGACAGGUGGUGCAUGGUUGUCGACAGCUCGUGUCGUGAGAUGUUGGGUUAAGUCCCGCAACGAGCGCAACCCUUAUCAUUAGUUGCCAUCAGGUAGAGCUGGGCACUCUAAAGAGACUGCCGGGGAUAACUCGGAGGAAGGUGGGGAUGACGUCAAAUCAUCAUGCCCCUUAUGUCCUGGGCUACACACGUGCUACAAUGGUCAGAAACAAAGGGAAGCGACAGGGUAACCUGAAGCGGAUCCCACAAACCUGAUCUCAGUUCGGAUUGUGGGCUGCAACUCGCCCACAUGAAGUCGGAGUUGCUAGUAAUCGCGAAUCAGCAUGUCGCGGUGAAUGCGUUCCCGGGCCUUGUACACACCGCCCGU
rnacentral:rRNA from 1 species